UACGGAGGGUGCGAGCGUUAUCCGGAAUUAUUGGGCGUAAAGCGUCCGUAGGUGGCACUUCAAGUCUGCGGUCAAAGACCGGGGCUUAACCCUGGAAAGGCCGUGGAAACUGAAGUGCUAGAGUGCAGUAGGGGUAGAGGGAAUUCCCGGUGUAGCGGUGAAAUGCGUAGAGCUCGGGAAGAACAUCGGUGGCGAAAGCGCUCUACUGGACUGCAACUGACACUGAGGGACGAAAGCUAGGGGAGCGAAUGGG
rnacentral:rRNA from 1 species